rnacentral:lncRNA from 12 species
AGAAGCAGGUUCCUAGUCCAGCUGAAACUUGUGUGCACCUGAAGUCACUACAGCUGAGUUCCUUCUCUAGUACUGUAAGUGCCACUCUUAACCCCCCGUAAUCUGCCUGAAUUGCUGGGAUUGAAUUUCUAGAUGCCCUUAUUUAUUUGUUUGUUUGCUGACACUUCUGAGUCAGGUAACAAAUUUGAAGGAGCAGUAGAUCAGUCCCUGUUGGAUACUAUUGAAAUCUCAUGGUCUUCUGUCGUCCAGGCAUACUUUAUAGUCACCUGCAGCAAGAUCCAUCCCUGAGAAAACUGGUGGUUGAAGCUGGAUGUUGGUUCUAACUGGUUUGGUUUUCGUUCCUGCAUUUUUGAAGUUCUGGGCUAGCCUUGACCAGCUAAGCAAAUGAGGCCAGUGCUCAUCUCCUUACCCAAGAGUCUGAAGAAGCUCAGGAGCCACAUGUGUGUUACUGUACAGCUUCUGAUAACUCUACUGUUAUCAGUACUGUUACUGAUGCUGCUGUUUAAGGAAGGAUUUUGAGGUGUGGACUCAACAUUAUGCUCCCAAAUAGCUCAGGAGGUGUCUGACUAUGAGGCAAAUCCUUCUGCAGUGGAGCAGGCAAAAUGUGAUAAUACAAUCUUGGGUUCAUGUGGCAAACCUGCACUUAUUGAAAGACAGUAACAAACAAAGCAGGCUGGCCAGCAGAGCCCACAGGAUGCCAUUUUGUGUCCUACAAAAGCGUGAGUUUAAAACCUGGAUUGUUUUGGAAGGGCUUAAUGCUGGAAUUCUUCUGGGAGUUAAGGGGUAAUUCCUGGUCAUAAGAAGUCCACACAGUCACCAGGUAAGCAGUAAUAUCCAUCCCCGUGCAGCAACAUGUCAGCAAUUCAGUCCAAACAUGGAAAAGCAUGAAUUUGUCAUGGCCUUAACUGUGUUCUGGACUGUUUCAUGAAAUUCAGAAGGCAGGGCAUUUUUGGGUGGUCUGUAGAUUUAAGAGAGAUCAGUUCUCUGCAGGCCAGCAUGAAAAAAGGGACAUCUCUUUGCUGAAGCUCUGCCAGUAGAAGAAACAACUGUUAGAAGAUCUGUAUUCUAUUUUUGCAGUAUAUAGAUGUAUGUUAUGCUAACUGACACUUUCUUCUCACUUGGAGAAAUAAAUAAUGUGAAAAAUUAUACUUGUCCAGGAGCUGGUUCCUUUACUGUUGCUACUGUGCUACUGUUGGUAGUUUUUUAGAUUUUUUUUUUUUCUAUUGUGCCUGUACCUCCCACCUCCAGCACUUUUGGUUAUGUCCUUGGUGUGCAUUCCAAGUGUGGUAAUGCUUUCAUUUUUGGUGACAGUUUUAGGUGACUGUCCUCCCCCUAGGAACCAGAUGUGGCACCAAAUGACUUGCCACCUUCCAAAGAAAUCGCCUGUUUGACAGGAGAUGGUCCUGAACAAGGAUCUCUGCUCUUCCAAAAGAGUGCAGAGAAACUGACACUUGUAUGUGUUUCCAUGCAGGAAUUUGAGAAUCUGACACUUCUUGUAUGUGUUUCCAUGCAGGAAUUUGAGAAUGACAGGAGAUGGUCCUGAACAAGGAUCUCUGCUCUUCCAAAAGAGUGCAGAGAAUCUGACACUUCUUGUAUGUGUUUCCAUGCAGGAAUUUGAGAAGCUGAUAAUAAAAUACUGUGUAUAUAAUAACUUGUCUUCAGAUUGACAGCUGUAACUUAAUAGAAUUUGGCUAAUGCUGUAAAGAAGGGAAAAAAAUCCCAUCUUUUUGUUUCUGUGGUGGUUUUGUAUGUAUUGACUUAAUAUUAGUUACUGGGCUGAUACCUUUGCAGCCUACUAGUUUUCUGGCUUGGAAGUGAAAAACAAAUCACAUUUCUAAACCAGCUCUGAGCACGAUUAUGAGGGGUUUUGUGUAAACAUUUGAAAAUAGCCAAUCCUGAUGCUCAGCAAACCAGGUGAAUGGAUAGCUUGUUAACUUUUGUUAAUCCUGGGACAGAAUCCAAUAUUAUCCAAAAUUACUUUAUCUGCUAUUUUUGUUUUUCUCCAAGAACAGAGGAUGUCACAUGCUGUUACUGAAUUUAAUUUAGUGCUUCAUACACAAAUAUUUCUGAGGAUGUAUUUGGGAAUUACAUAUUUUAAAAGCCUCAACUGUUGUGUAUGUUGCUUUUUAUUAACAUUUAUGUGGAUGUCUAAAAGGACAUUUUGGUUGUAGUCUCUUUUCCCUGUCCAUUUCUUACAACAUCAGCCACUUUUAAUUUUAAAUCGGAUAUUUAAAUUAAGCCACAUUUAAAACCGAGUAUUUCUCACAGGUAAUGGUAGCUACUAAAUCUUGUAAUGGUGUACUGAUGAGAGUUCUAAGGGUCCAAACAGCAGAAGCAGCUUUGGGACAUGCAUUGUGGCAGAGUCAAAGCCUUGGCUCAAGAAGCUCCAUCUUGCACUUACUAAACACAAACAGUGGCACUUCUCCAUCUUGUCUAAGCAGUUCAGGAUUCCCUUACAGCAAUGGGUGAGUCAGGGCAUUUCAAAUUAAAUAAAACAUCAUGCUUAAAUUUGAAGACUUAGUUGCUGUAGGACAGCUCUUAUAUUUUUGGAUGCUCCCAAAAUGAAGUGGCAUUCCAUUAACUGGACGUAUAGGACACAAAGAGUACAAAACAGACAGGGUUGUACUCAAAGCAUGUAAAUGUGUUCCUCAUAUGUAACUGGAAGAUAAGCAAAACACCAAAUUGAAAUGUGCUUUUUUUGUUUGCUGUUUCUUAUUUUCUUAAGUUUGCUAUUAUCAAGAGUCAGAUUAUGUUUAGAAUUUCUCUAGGGGUUUGUGCUCCACUGUGUCUUCUGCAUGUCAACAAGAGUUGGAUCAGGCCUCUCACAGAGCUGCAAUCACAGGAUGAUGUGAGGAAGAGAAGUAGUUUCUACCAUCAGCUUGACAUUUGUAAAAUCCAAAGCUAAUCCUGCCUUAAAGUAUAUCUUAAAGUAUAUUUUUCCUUGCUACCCCCUUGAGCUG